rnacentral:misc_RNA from 1 species
GAUGAAGAACGUAGCGAAAUGCGAUAAGUAAUGUGAAUUGCAGAAUUCAGUGAAUCAUCGAAUCUUUGAACGCACAUUGCGCCCGCCAGUAUUCUGGCGGGCAUGCCUGUUCGAGCGUCAUUUCAACCCUCAAGCCCCAGCGGCCUGGUGUUGGGGACCGGCGACCUCGCCCGAGCCCGCCCUCCGGGGCGCGUGCCCGGUGCGUCCGCCGCCCCCGAAAUGAAUUGGCGGCCUCGUCGCGGCCUCCUCUGCGUAGUAGCACAACCUCGCAAGCGGGAGCGCGACGCGGCCACUGCCGUAAAACGCCCAACUUUUUUAGAGUUGACCUCGGAUCAGGUAGGAAUACCCGCUGAACUUAAGCAUAUCAAAAGCGGAGGA